rnacentral:rRNA from 1 species
GAUCCUGGCUCAGAUUGAACGCUGGCGGAAUGCUUUACACAUGCAAGUCGAACGGUAGAGGGGGCAACCCUUGAGAGUGGCGAACGGGUGAGUAAUAUAUCGGAACGUGCCCAGUCGUGGGGGAUAACGUAGCGAAAGUUACGCUAAUACCGCAUACGAUCUACGGAUGAAAGCGGGGGAUCUUCGGACCUCGCGCCAUUAGAUGAGCCUAGGUCGGAUUAGCUAGUUGGUGAGGUAAUGGCUCACCAAGGCGACGAUCCGUAACUGGUCUGAGAGGAUGAUCAGUCACACUGGAACUGAGACACGGUCCAGACUCCUACGGGAGGCAGCAGUGGGGAAUUUUGGACAAUGGGCGCAAGCCUGAUCCAGCAAUGCCGCGUGCAGGAUGAAGGCCUUCGGGUUGUAAACUGCUUUUGUACGGAACGAAACGGUGAGCUCUAAUACAGUUUGCUAAUGACGGUACCGUAAGAAUAAGCACCGGCUAACUACGUG